rnacentral:rRNA from 1 species
AGUGAACGCUGGCGGUAGGCCUAACACAUGCAAGUCGAACGGCAGCACAGUAAGAGCUUGCUCUUACGGGUGGCGAGUGGCGGACGGGUGAGGAAUACAUCGGAAUCUACUUUUUCGUGGGGGAUAACGUAGGGAAACUUACGCUAAUACCGCAUACGACCUACGGGUGAAAGCAGGGGAUCUUCGGACCUUGCGCGAUUGAAUGAGCCGAUGUCGGAUUAGCUAGUUGGCGGGGUAAAGGCCCACCAAGGCGACGAUCCGUAGCUGGUCUGAGAGGAUGAUCAGCCACACUGGAACUGAGACACGGUCCAGACUCCUACGGGAGGCAGCAGUGGGGAAUAUUGGACAGUGGGCGCAAGCCUGAUCCAGCCAUACCGCGUGGGUGAAGAAGGCCUUCGGGUGGUAAAGCCCUUUUGUUGGGAAAGAAAAGCAGCAGGUUAAUACCCCGCUGUUCUGACGGUACCCAAAGAAUAAGCACCGGCUAACUUCGU